rnacentral:lncRNA from 1 species
AGGGCUAUGUCCCUGUCAUUGUCCACCCGCAGCCCUGGCGCCCUCUCUUUCCCUUCCUCCUAUUCGCCUGCUGGAAGGAUGGCUGCAAAGCCCCCAGGUGGGGGUGGGCCUGCCUUCUAUUCCAGCCAGAGCAGCAGCAACCUGUCUUUUCCUUUCCCUACAGGAAGCUGCACAGUGGGAUGAAGACGUACGGGUGUGAGCUCUGCGGAAAGCGGUUCCUGGAUAGUUUGCGACUGAGAAUGCACUUACUGGCUCAUUCAGGUAGGCAAGGAUACCCUGACCGGCCCUUCCAAGCACAGGCAACUACCCCCUGCCCACCUUUGCGCCCACUCAGAGCAUGGCUAUUCCCACAGCCCACCGGGCCUUGGUCUACCUGGUCCUGUGGGUGCUCCCUGUAGGCUCCUGGAGCAGAGUCCAUCCUGACCCAUCCUCCUGCUCUGCUGGGCUUCCUGGGACAUUGUCAGUACCCAGUGCCCCGUGUGAUCCACCUUCCGAAGUAGACUGCAGUUUCAUUAGCAGAACAGUUGUGGAAUUAGGUUCUCGCUGUCUAAUGAAUCUGACUAUUGGGUUCACAUUAUACAGGAGCCUUUAAUUAAAUAGAUAUAGAAAGGUUGGAAUACAAAGCUAGUUACAGCAUGCUCUCUUUUGCAAGUUAAUUUUAUCCAAUUUUAGCAGGGUUGACUCUGCGGCUGCUGGUGAUUUUGCUCCAAUUCGGGCAAAGCUUCUCUGCCCCCGCGAGGCGUGGAGAGGGGAGAGGGCACUGACCUGCAGCAUGGCAGGUGUUCUUGGUGGAGGGAGGGAUUCAGCAGGUCCAGGGCUGCUGCUUCGAGGCCAAGGGGGUCACCUGGGUUCGGUGGGAGAGGCCUCCACACUUCCCUGCCAGGGCCAGGGCUCUUUUCCCUCUGAUUCCCUUGCCUUUCGAUCUUGGGGUCACAUUUUGGGAGAGAAGAGAGAGAGCUGUCUUUUCACUUGGUCUUGCUCUUUCCCAUCUAGCCCACUGCCAAUGUCUGCUCUUCUUUCCCUCGUCGGCCCUCCAGGCAGUUGGCGGUUCGGAGUUGGUAAAUGAGCCUAGGCUUUGGGGUUGGGCAGGUGAAGGUUCACAUCUUAUCUGUGACAUGUGCUGGAUGACCUCAGGCACAUUUGUCCCCUAACCUCCCGUUUCUGCAUCUGUAAAGGGCGGGUGUUGCUAACUCAUAUCAAGUAGUUAAGAGAAUGUAUGAUAAAGGCAGCUACAGCACGCUCUCUGCCACACAGUCAGUGUUUAAUACAUGACCAUACAGUUGGUGUUUAAUAAAUGUCCGUUGCUUCUGCUUCCACCUUCCUCCCUUUUCCCCAGUCCUAAGUUGUUGUUCUGGAGUGUUGCCAUCACCGUACACCUGUUGAGGACAGUCUGGCCUCCAGCACGGAGAUGCCACUGGGGAGCUUCGUAUGCUUCUGCGAGCCCCUGUCUCGCUGCCCAGCCCCUGGGCUCUGCACUGCAUGGGGUGCCACCUUCCCAGGCCUUCACAGCCCUGUGUAAGGUGCCCUGACUCCUCACGUCCCACUCUUCCCUCUUCCAGAUCCAGGGAUGGGGCCACACCAGGCAGCUGUCUCUUGUAUCCCCAUGUCUUUAUGUUCCAUUCCUCCUUCCUAUGGGGCCUCCCCAUACCCACCCCUGGCUCUAUGGAAUUAUCCUGAUCCCCGAACCUGCCCCACAUGGGCACACAGUCCAGGUGUCCCUGUGUUUGGCAUCUGCUUGGUACCCGUACGCUCAUUUUAUUUUUAUAACUCACACCUCUGGUCUUCUUGCUCCCCUUCAUCUUUGUAGGUUUCGGGGGUGGGGGGUGGAGGUGUCAUGAGCUGUCUGCCAACCGGUUGGCGGCCCUCCCCAAACGCAGAGUGCGGCCUCCCAUUUCAUUUGCUCUCUGCUCCAGGCCCCUGUGUGGUCUCGAACCACGGGGUGUUGGACAUUGCAUGUGGGUAGAAGAGCUUGUGGUUACGCUCCCUCGCCCUCGCUGUAACUCAGCCCGGGAAGCUUGCUUUCUCCUUACAGUUUCCUUGCGUCUAGGGUGCUUGCCAGAUGGGUGCGCUAUCACUUUGCUCCGGGUGCCGACCAGCACAGCUGGCUUUCUGCUCUGUGUGGAAUGACCCCUUUCCCUCCACGUGGAGUAACCUUCCCCAGUCUCCCCACAUCCUCCAGGGUCCUUCCCACCGGAAGCAAUCGUGCCUUCUUCGGGGUCCGUAUCUCUUUAGCUGAAGCUGUCUUUGGGCACAGUCUUACUUCUCAUGACUUAACCUCCCCCUACUUGGGAGUCAGGAUUAGGAAUUUGGGUGUCUCUGUCCUGACCAGGUGACCUUGGACAAGAAACAGAAGCCCUCUGAGCCUGAACGCAAGGCCCCCCAUUAGACACUCAGCACUUAGCCGAACACACAAUAGGCUCUCAGAAAUGUAACUUCCCUUUUCCUCUGUUCCCCUGAUAGACUGGAUAAGCUACUUGGGGACCUGAUCUGUUCCCGUGUGUGGAGCAUGUACGUGGCACAUUACCAGAGUCUUGUAGAUAUUGGUUGAAUGGAUGACUACAGCCUGGGAGGUCGGGCACCUCAAGAGAAUGCCAUGCUCCAUCCGGGUCUCUCCUGCAGUAGGAAGCAUCUCAGGGCUUCACUGGAGGGCCGCUAGGAGCCCACUGGCCCGAAUGUGCUGUGCUGCCCUAGCCAGGGCUCCGUCAGGAAGCGUACCCCAGCAGUGUCCGUAAGGCGGGCGGGGGCAGCACUGAGGGGAAGAGCUGCUUACACACAUUCGGGUGGGCCCGAGCCCCCCCUUCAGAGAAGAGGAAGGCCUUUGUGUCAGCCCCCGAGAUGCCACUUCAGGGUCCCGUGGUCUCAUACACAUACCCUAGCAACUUUGGGCCUCUUUUCCUCUGCAGUCUGUGCAAACGGUUCGUCCCUCUGACUUUCACUUGCCGCUGCCCUUGUUAAAGAGGAUUCGGUGAUGGGGAAGGUGUGAUGGGUCUUCACAACAGGGCCUUCAUUCCCCCUGCAGAUAACUCUUAACCUGCUUCAACGCUGUUUUUUCUGGACCCGCUUACCACUCCCCUCCCCAAGCCCUGUGCCAAGAUGGCUUGAAAAUAAAACAGCAGCAAGGGCUUCGUGAGGCUAGAGCACACCCCGAAUUGUUUUUUGCCCUUGCUGUUAAACAGCGGAGGCCCCAGGCCUCCAGAGAAACCUGGCUGUGUCAGGGAGGUGGAGUUGGGGGGCUGGGCCAGCAGUGCCAGCUUUUUUCCUGGAUUCCAGUAGCAGAAGUUGGGUUUUACCCAGUCCAGUUCCUCCCCGAGUCUCACAAUAACAGAACUAUGUGAGGUUUGAGAGGAGACGUUUAAUUAGAUGACCAAGGUUUUCUUGGUGCUGAAGGCUCCGUGCAGGGAGCCGACAGCAAGGCUGGCCCCUAAGGGCCUGUGAUGUGGACCCAGCUUAAGGGAGAUCAGCAGGGCAGAGCAUCGCAGAACAACAGUGGUUCCAGAGCCUGGGACCAUGUUUUGAGAGGGGGCAGGCCGUGGAGAAGGGAGUCUGGGCUCCGGAUCGGGGUCAGGAUGCUCCUGGCUUCCCCUCCAUGUGGUUGCUGCCCUGGAAAGGCUCGCUCCUGCUGGUUCUCCUUCUCAGCGGAGCUGCACGGCGCUCACUUCCUCGCGGGCUCUGCGUGCUCGGCGCCCCACCCCCUCUUGGCGAGCGUGGCCCGUGUUUGUUAUUGUAGUUCUGGCGCUGGGCCAGGCCUGGCUGGGCGCCAGCCUUGUGGGUACAGUGUGUACAGUGAGUGCCGAGCCAAGUUUGUCAUCAUACACGAUUAAUUUUUUUUUUUUCUCAUCUGGUAGGGGUGGGGUGAAGGAGGAGGCAAGACGGAGUUUCUCGGAUGCUUGAGAACAGGCCUGGUUGAAUUCUGCGGAGAUAAUAUUUCCUUCCCAGCUUUCCUUUCUCUCGAAUCAUCUCCCUCCUCUCCUCCACGUUUUCCUAUCCAGGGAAAUCGGCCUGUGUGAGAUCGACACUGUGAGGUCUUAUUUUCAGUGACUGGAAUACCAAAUUUACACUCCUAAAUCAGUUUUCAUUGUGUUGAAAUUGACAAUUUGUUUAAUUAGAAGUUUGCCCUGUAGGAGGCCCUUCUCAGAGACAGUUCUUUCUUUCUCUUUCUCUUUUUUUGCUUUUUUUAAGACCCUGCGUGGUAGAAGUGAACGUUCGGUUUCAAUGAAGUUUUGAUUUCGAUUUGAAUGCCUUCACUAAUCAAGUGUUUAUGAGAUAUACCCGAUGAUCACAAUACGUUGAAAUUAACAAACAAUCACCCCACUCACUAACUAAUGAGAUUGAUCUGGCCGGACCCUGCAUUCUCAGAGGUGGUUUGGGGAUCAAGAGGUUUGGGGCCUUGGCAGAGGGGCUUGGGGUGGGAAGAGUGACCUAUGGGGUUCUCCACAAAGCUGCUCUUUGUGGGAGGGGUUGUGAAUUCGAGGAGGGGGUGCAAGGAGCAGGGGAAGAGACCCAGCCCCUCGUCAUCCCCAGAUCACUCUGCAAUCGCCUACCCAUCGUUUGCUGCUGCCGUAUCCCUUGUGGGAGCAUCCGUGAGCUGCUAUCUCGUGCCCACUCCUUGUUCUCACUUAGGAGAACGUCCUAACCCUGGGAGGUCCAUGCAGAAACCGCACACUUGGGGGAUGAGUUGAGUGGGUUCUGCGAUUUGCCCGGGUCAGGUUUCCCAUUAGGUAGUGUUUCCCACAGCUUGGCCUAACGUCCUGGUGGAUGCUAAGAGAGCACACCCUGUUUUUGCCUUGGCCACAUGCUAUUUAGAGGCUUGCAGAGUUCUGUGGCCAGCUUCUAUUCUGGGAGCAUCAUCCGUCAGGCUCCGUGUGCUUCUUACUGGAGAACAGGCAUCACCCCUGCCCUCCAGGCGCUUACGUCUCAUUGGAGAGAUGUUUGACCGUGAAGUUGGGAUAAAAGAAGGUGGUGUGUGCCGAGUGCCCAGAGUUCUAGAAGGGAUUCGGAGGAGGAAGGGGGCUCCUUGGAGAGGAGUGGAAUUCUGAGAGGACCCCCACCCCCUCCCGCCCCCCUGGGUCACGGGGUCUCUGUGCAGUGAAGCUGGGGAGUGUAGGCUGGGUGUGGGGGAAGAGACAGAGUUUACAGGGAGGGCUGGGGCAAGAUUGCAAGGGCUUUGAAUUGCAAAAUGAUUUGCAUUUGACCUAUAGCGAUUAAAAGCCACAGAGAGAUUGACUGGGGAAGGGGCACCAGUUCCCUCUGGAACAGAAGGGAUGCUUGGGCUGGGCUGGAGCAGAGAGUUUAUAAGGCCCUUGGAGAAAUGGCGUGAGUGUCCAGGGGCAGGGCUGGAGGGUGGCGUGCCUUGUGCAUAUUGCACUGGUUGGGGGCACGCAGCCUUUCUUUGGGGUCUCCUCCUACACACUCACUCCUCUUCAUCCUUCUCAGGGCACUCUGAGCCAUGGCCAUUGAGAACCCCCCCCAGUACCAGACUCUUCCCCAUAGUCAGAGCCACCACGAAAGGACAUGGUCUUCAGGUGACAGAUUUUCUGAUUCCAGCAGCAGCAUGGUGUGGUCAGGGCAUAGCAUUGGGGGUCGGGUCACCGUCUGGCAGGGAAAAGGGCAGGAGGGGUUGGGGCCAGAAACCAGAUUGGUUCUCUUAUGCUUUCCCCUGUCCUGAUCAGAUGGAAGGGGAAAAAAAGAGAGAGAGAGAGAGAUGUCAAAGCUCUGUGGAUUACAUUUGUUCCCUUUGUUUUUUUUUUUCUUUGGGGAACCCUAAGCUUUGGGGUUCAGGGUCCUUCUUCUCAAAGGCAGAGAGUGUGAGAGGAGCAAGGUAGCUGGAUGGUGCCCUGUGAGUGCGAGGCGAGGUGAGGGUCUCCACGCCCCACAGAGGCAUCUUAGGAUGCAAAGACGGUUUCUCGGGACCUGCAGCUUCCUCCUCUUGUUCCCUGCUCUCUUAUCUGCUGAGAGCAGAAGACUGGGGUUAUCCGGGCAGCUCUGAACCCAGGGUCCACUCCAUUUACUCCGUCUCGGCUCACUCCCUCCUUCUGGUUGGCUUUCUGCCCUCAGGGUAAAACCAAGAGAUACCCAAGAAGGAAACUUCCCAGGUCUCCUCCGUCUCCCUCAGCAUCCCUGCCGAGGGGUGUUGUUUACAGCAAGUGACAGGUCCUGUGAUGGUGUUGGGUGCCAUGCUGGCUCCAGGGCCAUUAAAGUUCCCCCAUCUCUGCACCUCAGUACGGCUGGAUGUGUGUGUGCCUGGGUCCCCCAGCCCUGAAGAUGUCACAUCAGACCCGCCGAAGAGAGAAAGUUCAGAGAGUUCAUUGCAGGUCAUUGUAUUAAACAGUGUUUUCACUGCUUCUCUCCCACCCCUUCACCUCCAUACAGCCCCCUGUGUGAAAAGGGGGUUCACGGAGUCCUCCCCCGAACACACACAUGUCUCUCCCUCCAUAUGGUGCCUUAGCAGGGGUUUGGGAAGCUCGUGUAUCUGCCCCUCUGGAGCCCAGCCUCUCCCCCUACCCUCCCGUCCCCCAUCCCAAUUUAUUCUAUAAAUUCGUUUCCACAUUAUGUC